rnacentral:lncRNA from 1 species
AUGAGGCACACCGUGAGCACCAGCAGCCUCUCGCAGAUGAGCACUGAGUCUUACCUGAGAAGCACCUCCCUAAAUGCUGCUACGCCUGAGCUGAGGUUGUGCCGUCCAGGGCGCAGGAUGGCCCAGCACAGUGUGGACACCAGGAGGCAACAGGGCGAAGUAAUAGGCCUACCAAAAAGGGUAACAUUACGUGUGUGGCUCAUAUUAUCCUCCUAUUGGCCAGCACCUCCCUGGGAGCAGGCCACAACACAGACCUGGCCUCGCCUUUGCUCCGUGUCUGCGGAUACAUCACCCAGAGCAGAGCUUAAGAGCUGUGAGGAGACCAUCCAGCCUGCAGUUCGAAAAUACUGACUUUCAGCUUUUUAAGAAACAGCUGACAUGCUCUAGAGUUAGACAGCAGAUGAGUGAGCCAUGCUGCUUGGGACAAUGUAGCAAAGCUUCAUCCAUCCAUCAUCUAGGAGGCUCCAACAAACUCAGCCUAGUUAACUGAAAACUAACUCAAGAAAAUUUGUGUAAAAUUUGUUAGAGCUGCC